rnacentral:lncRNA from 10 species
UAAGGGAUCUGUUGCGCCACAGGGGUCUCCAGGGCCCUCGCAGGUUGGGGUGGUCUGAGCUAGUCUGAAGGAGGACAGUCAGCUGACUUCUCCUUUAUCUCUCUUUCCCAGGAUAGCAGGUUCCCUUGGUGUAUUACAGUUUCUGAAGUGUUGAUUCCCUUUUCAAUUGAUUCCACAGAUGACAGUCCUGACGUUUAAAAAAUUGCCAGAUAACCUUUAAUUUUUUUUUUUUUAACAGAACACAAACUUAAGCCAGAUUGCCUAGGAUUGAACCUUGGCCUCUCACUUCCUAGACGAGUGGCCUUGGCUAGUUAACCACCUUCGUGAGCCUCAGUUUUGUCAUCUGUAAAAUGGGAGUCAUAAGUGUCUACCUCACAGAGCUGUGAUUGAAAGGAUAAAUAGCACCUUGCACAUAGCGGUGUAGAAGUGCUUGUUAUUGUUAAUAUUUUAUUUACCUUCACGCAGCCUACAGUGGCGGAAGUGGAGUAAGACAUCAUGUUGCCUCAAGUUUAAUUGGAAAUCGCG